rnacentral:rRNA from 1 species
UACGGAGGGUGCAAGCGUUAUCCGGAUUUAUUGGGCGUAAAGAGCUCGUAGGCGGCUUGUCGCGUCGACCGUGAAAACUUGGGGCUCAACCCCAAGCCUGCGGUCGAUACGGGCAGGCUCGAGUUCGGUAGGGGAGACUGGAAUUCCUGGUGUAGCGGUGAAAUGCGCAGAUAUCAGGAGGAACACCGAUGGCGAAGGCAGGUCUCUGGGCCGAUACUGACGCUGAGGAGCGAAAGCGUGGGGAGCGAACAGG